CGGCUUUGGGCGCACGGGGCGUGGGUGAGGCGUUGUGCACACCCAAGCGCUCGCGAGUGCCACAUCGUGUGCAGCGGUUGGGCGUAGCGAUGGAAAAAAAAACCAUGACCUAUUCAGGCUCUCCUCGCGACCCUCCUCUCCUUCCUAAUCUCCUGCUGCCGCCACCCGGUCCUUCCUCCUUGCCUCUGCCAUUCGAUCUCCGCCGCUCGGUCUCCUCCCCUGCAUGCGCUCCGUCCCUUCCUCCUCGUUGGCGCUCAACUGGCAGUGGAUGAGCAGCGGCGGACGAGAUCGGCGCGUCACGAGAGUGGACACGGCAACUGUCACGGGCAGAGCAGAGCGAAGCCGGCGCGGCGGCCGGGCGCGAUCUGGAGAACUAGUGGGCGGUGGUGCCCGAUAUGGGCCGGCGCGACCUACGCAGGUGAGUUGUGUUGUUGUCCUCUUCGACGACGGCGGCGGGCGGCACGCCCAUCAGUGCCCGUGUGCCCCGGCCGGUGUGGACUGCUUGCGUUGGGCCAAAACAGCUGCUUGCUCAAGCCGGCGUAUGGACUGCCUGGGUCGCGUCCAACCCACUGCCAGUGAAUUUUAUUCUUCUGAAUUGAUGUGUUGCAGUGAUCGGCUGCCCCGCUGCCUAAAAUAUAUGUGCCCUUAAGGCGUGGUGUCCAUGGGGAUAAGAAACCGAGUUGGGUUUCAAGUGGUACCUGAAUGUCUACACCUUGACAAGCUUGACUAAACAUUCCCCUACUAGAUUUCACAAGAGAGCCUUCUAUUGUCGUUUUUAGAACUGAAUAUAUUUGAUGUGUGGUUCAAUAGAAAUGUGGACACACGGAUAGUGCCUUUUCACUAUCAAACAGUCCCAACAAAAAGACUCUCCGCAAAAUCAAUUCUGGUGUCUUGUUUGUUGUUUUAUUUGAUGUGAGGUAAUAUUUUGUUGCAGUGUUUAGCAUAUUUUAUCUUUUCAUUUUUUGUUUGAAGAAAGAUGUUUUUCUUCCUUAAGAAAAUAUUAUUUCGUAAAUAGAACAAUAGUCACCAUACAUGAUCUUCCACCAAGUAGGAAUUUUUGUGUGUGCAAAGAUUGAUUUCCAGGUCAAUUUGUGAAGGUGCGGCCCCAUUCCCCCACCCCUGUCUGGGUUUGCUAGGAGCGUGCCCACUGCCCACACCCGACCUCGCCACCGGGCCGCAUCUUGGCGGAGCUAACACCGUAGGCCUCCAUCUCCUCUACCGAAGAAGGGUUAUUAUCACAUCCAUCCCCACCCAAGAGCGCUCUAAUCCUCUCGACAACAAUGCUCACCACAGUUGCAGUUGCGGGCGCGGAAGCCGCUGUCCCAUACCGAGGACGUGCAGACUGCAAAAGAUUCAUGUGGGCAUUCAUGUUAUUGAAGAAUUUUUCGAAAUGGAAAGCUGAAGGCUGAAUGUUUUUCCAUUAACAUUGUACAUGUGCUGCUAUAGACUGGUCAAUGAAGGCCUCAACCAUUGGAGGCACAAAAUUGUGAAGCUUAAGAUUCCCCACCCUUGUUUCAAUCUUCGAGGAUUUCUCAAUGAAGCACAUGCUGAUGGUGCACUUGCCUUUGGAAUAAUUACUUUGCUCUACAACAGUAUGAAGGGUAAGGUAAUUCUAUUGUCACUGUGCUUCACACUUCUCUGUCAUGGUUUACAGAUUCAGAGCUAGCAAUUAUGCUAAAGGCAGAUACAGAGAAGGGGAUUAGUGGAGUGGAUUUUCAUUUUCAGUACUGGGUUUUACCAUGACCCUGUCGUUGCCUCGUACUACAGCAACAUAUAUGGUCAUUACUACAUCUAUGAGAAUGGAUAUUACGUGUUAUGGACUUCAGAUGCGGUACAGAGCUGCUGAGAGAAGGGUAGACAUAUCUACAAAGAGGGCCACAAGCCUAGUAUGAUUUGUCAGAGCGACAUCUACCCUCCCUGCCACAAAUGAUUGAUCCUUUUAACCAGUUUCAGAAUCCGACCUUUCGUUUCAUUAAACAAGAAAAGCGAGGUUGGUCAUCCAUGAUGCAUUUAUAGAUCCAUUUGAUGAUGAAUCCCAUCCCAUCUUGAAUACCCCUCCCUUCAUUUCAAAGGCAGAGGAGCGUGUCCGGCUGUUGUCGUACGAGAAGAAGCUAGUGUGUGCAGCUGAGGACCCAGGAUGCUAAUGGUGUAGAGCCGUUCACCAUCGAGAGGACCAGGGCUUCCAUCAUGGUCCUCCGGACCAAGCUCAACAUAUCCGCCGCCUUCGUCGACGACUUGUCCUGGAUGGUCGUUGCCGUCUGCAAUGACUCACCUGAAUGUACGCCUGUGAUGGCAUUUUAGUUUCUUCCCCACGUGAUGCAUCAAUACAAUAAGUAUAUCAAGAAUUGCAUGAAUGUGCUAUCCAGAUCCAAAAAGAAAAUGAAGGUGUCGUUCCCCUA